AGGGGCUGCCAGGAUUCGGCUCCUGGAAGCCCGAAGCGCAACCCCGGCGGCAGCGGCCGGGUCCGGAUCUGAAGGGCACGGAGCGCUGCGCCGGAAUCCCAACUUCCGCGCCCUCCGCACGCAGCCCGGGGAGACGCGCUACGGGCCGAGCGGCUUCAAAGGCGGGACGAACCACCAGAUCCAUCUCCACCUUCCGGAGUCCAAACUCCCCUUGAACACUGGUACUUACCAACUGGUACUAACAAAAAAGUUAGGUAAGUGAAUGGGUAAAUCAACUGUGGAACACCCAUCCAUACUGUAUGAUUCCAACUAGGUGACAUUCCAGAAAGAGGCAAAACUAUGGAAGCAAAAAAUUAAUGCCUUGAGCUUCAGCUGGAUGUUGAUGGAAGAUUUCCUCUGGCCAGCAUGUCACUGCUUCAAAGUUUCAGUUUUGCUUCAAAAAGCCAAAACUCAAAAGUCAGAGUUUGGAGUAAGGGAAGGUUCAUGAAUCGGGAAGGUGCCAACAGAGAAGAUGAGAGCCUUCGUGGCACCUCAAGUUCAUUUUUAAAAAGUAGAGUUCGGGCUUCCUUUAUGACAAGGGGAGGGGAAAUGUGAGGAGCCCCAAGAAGAAUUUCUCUAAUGAUUAGCAUGUCUCUGUGCAAGACAAAGCAGGAGCUGUUAGCCUGAAGACUGUGGGAACCACACAGGCUCGAACAUGAUGGAGUCAGAGACUGCAUUUCACUCUGCUACAAGCCUGCAGCUAGCUCUGAGGUGAGGAAGUGGGUUGGUCCUGUAGUUAAACCAUAGUGUGCUUUCAAUUCAUUUCAUUCUCAGACAGUGAAAGCUGCUGGUGGAGUAAAUUUCCUCCUGAAUUAUCUAAGGACAAAUAUCUCCCUAUGGUCAUGUAGACAAAAAAGGUGCCACAUACUCAACCUGACAAGCUCGGGGGAGGCCUGCAUGGUGGCCUUACAAACUCAGAGACCAGAAGUAACCACAUACGAUGGUCUGAACAUAAAAAUUCCCAACUCAAAGCCGGUCAUGGCGAGUAGUCACAUCCUAGGCCUGUAGUUUCCU